AGAACGCACAGGAUGCACCGUAGUUUACUACACCGUAUUCUGUGAGUUGCGAACGGGUGAGUAACGCGUAGGUAACCUGCCUGGUAGCGGGGGAUAACUAUUGGAAACGAUAGCUAAUACCGCAUAAGAACAUUUACUGCAUGGUAGAUGUUUAAAAGGUGCAAAUGCAUCACUACCAGAUGGACCUGCGUUGUAUUAGCUAGUAGGUGAGGUAACGGCUCACCUAGGCGACGAUACAUAGCCGACCUGAGAGGGUGAUCGGCCACACUGGGACUGAGACACGGCCCAGACUCCUACGGGAGGCAGCAGUAGGGAAUCUUCGGCAAUGG
rnacentral:rRNA from 1 species